CCCCAUACCCCUUCUUCCUCUUCCCCAGACGGGGAGACCCCACCUCCCCCUUCCGCCUCCCCUUUCUGCUUCUCCAUAGCACGGAGACCUCCCACCUCCACGGAGCAGCACCACCGCCGCCACCGCCGCUCGCGCUCGCUGAGCGCUGCCUUCGCGCCUUUGCUGGUUUCAUCUGCCUCCCUCCUCGCGUUCUUAGACAAGAAAGUCGUUCUUGGCUUUGAUCAAUUUUGGUCUGAGCGGAGGGGCAGCUCAUGGUCGUAACCCGGUGAGGGCGGCGGCGGUUCCGGGAUGGGAAGCGUCGGUGGAGAGGAGGAGUUCCCCGCCGGCGUGACGGGGGCGGACGCGGAGGUGGGGGCGCUAGUCUGGGUGCGCCGCCGCAACGGAUCCUGGUGGCCCGGCCGGAUCCUUGGCCAGGACGAGUUACCCGAGAACUGCGUGGUUCCACCGCGCUCUGCAGGCACACCCAUCAAGCUCCUCGGCCGCCCGGACGGCAGCAUUGACUGGUAUAAUCUCGAGAAAUCUAAGCGUGUGAAGGCAUUCCGGUGUGGUGAGUAUGAAGAGUGUAUAGAAAAAGCGAAAAUUUUGGCUCGCCAGCAAAAGAGAACCUACAAUGAAGGAAAGUAUGUUCGCAGGGAGGAUGCCAUUAUGCACGCCCUUGAAAUAGAAAGAUCUCGCUUUCCAGAUGAAGAUGAGAUGGACGAUGCUAUGUGUGCAUCUGAGAACAGGUAUUCUGCAAACUCUAGAAACAUAGGUGGAGCCAGCAGAAUAUCUUCUCGCGUUGAAAGGGGUCUGUAUGAUAUUGAAGAAAACUCAGCUCAAGGUUUAUCUGAAGCGUCAACAUUUUUCAAGCUGCCACAAAAUAUAUCCUCUUCAAGUACUAGGUAUGCUUCAUCGUCAAGGAAGAAACGGAAGGCAUCAAACAAAUUUGAGGAUGACACAGUCAAAGGAUUCCGGCGUAUGAGAGACCUUAUUGGAUCAAACAGGACCCCGAAACAGAAGUCAAGUGCUGGUUCUUUUUCAAAUGGGUAUCAUGAUUUACCUCAUCUUGAAAGUGGGCCAAGCUUUGGCUAUGAGUUGCCUAGCACAAAUGGAAUAAACAAGAAUAAGCAGUCUCAUUCAUUGACAAAAAGGAAACGCUCCAAUAUUGGUCAAGCUUAUGAAAAUUCAAGAAAGAAAGAUAAGCGACGUCCUUUGUCAAAGUUAUGUAAAGAUUCAGCAGUGAAAGUUCCAACAUAUUGGGACGCUUCAGGACAGUCUUCUGUCCAGUCCCCUGGACACAAACUGUCGAACGUGUUUGAAUCAAAUUGGGGGGAUUUUCUUUGCCAGGAAAUUUAAAUUGUUCUUACAGCUCGGGCACUUCAAGUGUGGAGACUUUAGCAGAUGCCUUAUGUACUAGUCGCAAUGGUGCUACCAAAGCUUCUAAACUAAAGGAAGCUGAAGUCUUGGACGGGACUGGGUUUCUUAGUGAUGGCUGCUCUGAUGAUGAUGAUGAGUUUCUUGAUGCUCACCGUACUAUGGAGGAUGAUGUCACAGCAGAAGGCCAUCUGCACACACAUGGAUCGUGUGCAUCUGUAAAGGAUGAGACCUUAAAAGGCAAGACACAAAUUACUGACUAUAGCAGAGAACACAUACCCUUACUUCGUGAUAAUACAAGUUCCAAGAAGAAAAACAUACAGGUAGCUCCAGUAAGCUGCAACAUGGAUGAAAGUUUGAUGGUGGAACAAUAUGGAAGGACAAUAAAAUGCAAGGAACAAGAUGAAGAUGUUACUGGGUUGGAUGCACGAGUCGGAAGUGCUAGUGAUCCUGGGAGUAGCAUGAAAUUUGUGCUGGUUCCUCCAGAUGAUGGUGCUGGCGUUAUGGGGCAACAAUAUUAUGAAAGCGGACCCGAGCAUGAUGAGUCAUUUGAAACUCUAAGCAACCAUUCACACUCUGAAAAGGUUGGGGCAGCAUCCCCAUAUUAUGGGUCACCGCUUAAAGUAAUACUGCCUGAGCAGAAACCUGAUAUGAAAUCUACAAGAUGCCAUGUGGUAAAGCCAAUGAAGAGUGUACAAGCAGACUAUAAACUUUAUGAUGUUGAGUUGGCAGUCGAAGGAACCUACAAGGGCCACCGUGCACCUCUUGUUUCUCUGACAAGUAAAUGGAACCGUAAACCUGUUAUGGGGUUUCCUGUACCUGUUGUUGUUUUGGAUGAUAGUUGUCCUGUGGAAAGUAGAGAUAAUCACCAUCUGGCAAAGAACAGUCUUACCAACUUGCUAAAGAGGAGCGAAGUUGCAGAACCGCGCCAGCCAAGAUCGGCACAUUCAUCUAAAUCAAAACUUGGUGGCCGUAAAAAGGUCUCGGAGCAUGAUAUUGAUAAGUCCUGGCGGCCACAUACCAAGAAAUCAGCAUCUUCACCAAGGAAAAUGCGCAGGCUCUCAUCUUUUGGCAGCAGCCGUAGAGAAAGCUCAAACAGAAAUACUGUAGUUCGAAAAAUUGGCGGGCCAACUAUUGCGUGCAUCCCGGUUCGACUUGUUUUCAGUAGGAUCAAUGAAGCAUUAAGCUUUCAUGUGAGAUCAGAGAACACUAGCUGAGGUGCUCUGCCAGGACUUAAUUAAAGAGAGCCUCCGAUCAUACACUUUCUAGCUUUUCAUGUACAUUAGUCGCCAUAAUUUUUUAAAGCUUGAUGCCUGGCAUGUUUAUAUGACUAUUAUGUGCUUGUAAUCCAUAAGUGAUGUAGGCAAUUGUUACUUACCCACCGUGAGUGUUGGGUGAGACUUCCAUGGUGGAAGGAAAUAAGCAGCAUCAGUAAUUUUGCGCUGAUGGUGUUGAAGCAGGGAAGGAAAUAAGCAGAUGUAGUAUUUCUUUUCGCUGAUA